rnacentral:misc_RNA from 1 species
UCGCGGCUUAUCACCGGCAGUCCCUCUAGAGUGCCCAACUAAAUGAUGGCAACUAAAGGCGAGGGUUGCGCUCGUUGCGGGACUUAACCCAACAUCUCACGACACGAGCUGACGACAACCAUGCACCACCUGUGCACGACCCUUACGGACCCCCCAUCUCUGGAGGAUUUCCGUGCAUGUCAAGCCUAGGUAAGGUUCUUCGCGUUGCAUCGAAUUAAAGAACAUGCUCCGCUGCUUGUGCGGGCCCCCGUCAAUUCUUUUGAGUUUUAGCCUUGCGGCCGUACUCCCCAGGCGGGACACUUAACGCGUUAACUUCGGCACAGAGGGAUUCGACUCCCCCCACACCCAGUGUCCAUCGUUUACAGCGUGGACUAC